rnacentral:rRNA from 1 species
AAUAGAUACCCGGGUAGUCCACGCCGUAAACGAUGAAUGCCAGCCGUUGGUGGGUUUACUCACCAGUGGCGCAGCUAACGCUUUAAGCAUUCCGCCUAGGGAGUACGGUCGCAAGAUUAAAACUCAAAGGAAUUGACGGGGCCCGCACAAGCGGUGGAGCAUGUGGUUUAAUUCGACGCAACGCGCAGAACCUUACCAGCCCUUGACAUGUCCAGGACCGGUCGCAGAGAUGUGACCCUCUCUUCGGAGCCUGGAGCACAGGUGCUGCAUGGCUGUCGUCAGCUCGUGUCGUGAGAUGUUGGGUUAAGUCCCGCAACGAGCGCAACCCCCGUCCUUAGUUGCUACCAUUUAGUUGAGCACUCUAAGGAGGCUGCCGGUGAUAAGCCGCGAGGAAGGUGGGGAUGACGUCAAGUCCUCAUGGCCCUUAGGGCUGGGCUACACACGUGCUACAAUGGCGGUGACAAUGGGAAGCAAAGGGGCAACCCCUAGCAAAUCUCAAAAAGCCGUCUCAGUUCGGAUUGGGCUCUG